GGUGGCGUGGCCGAGUUGGUCUAAGGCGUCGGAUUUAAGCUAUUCUUGAUUCCCGAUGGGAGCUAUCCCGCGCGAGUUCGAACCUCGCCGCCACCA